GAUGAACGCUGGCGGCGUGCCUAAUACAUGCAAGUCGAGCGAAUGGAUUAAGAGCUUGCUCCUAUGAAGUUAGCGGCGGACGGGUGAGUAACACGUGGGUAACCUGCCCGUAAGACUGGGAUAACUCCGGGAAACCGGGGCUAAUACCGGAUAACAUUUUGAACCGCAUGGUUCGAAAUUGAAAGGCGGCUUCGGCUGUCACUUAUGGAUGGACCCGCGUCGCAUAGCUAGUUGGUGAGGUAACGGCUCACCAAGGCAACGAUGCGUAGCCGACCUGAGAGGGUGAUCGGCCACACUGGGACUGAGACACGGCCCAGACUCCUACGGGAGGCAGCAGUAGGGAAUCUUCCACAAUGGACGAAAGUCUGACGGAGCAACGCCGCGUGAGUGAUGAAGGCUUUCGGGUCGUAAAACUCUGUUGUUAGGGAAGAACAAGUGCUAGUUGAAUAAGCUGGCACCUUGACGGUACCUAACCAGAAAGCCACGGCUAACCACGUGCCAGCCGCCGCAGUAA
rnacentral:rRNA from 1 species